rnacentral:rRNA from 1 species
GUGGGGAAUCUUGCGCAAUGGGCGAAAGCCUGACGCAGCCAUGCCGCGUGAAUGAUGAAGGUCUUAGGAUUGUAAAAUUCUUUCACCGGGGACGAUAAUGACGGUACCCGGAGAAGAAGCUCCGGCUAACUUCGUGCCAGCAGCCGCGGUAAUACGAAGGGGGCUAGCGUUGCGCGGAAUUACUGGGCGUAAAGGGCGCGUAGGCGGACAGCUUAGUCAGAGGUGAAAGCCCAGGGCUCAACCUUGGAAUUGCCUUUGAGACUGGCUGUCUUGAGUUUGGGAGAGGUGAGUGGAACUCCGAGUGUAGAGGUGAAAUUCGUAGAUAUUCGGAAGAACACCAGUGGCGAAGGCGACUCACUGGCCCAAUACUGACGCUGAGGCGCGAAAGCGUGGGGAGCAAACAGGAUUAGAUACCCGGGUAGUCC